GAUGAACGCUAGCGAUAGGCCUAACACAUGCAAGUCGAGGGGCAUCACAUGAAGUAGCAAUACGGAUGGUGGCGACCGGCGCACGGGUGAGUAACACGUAUGCAACCUGCCUUCAACAAGGGGAUAACCCGUUGAAAGACGGACUAAUACCCUAUAACACAGGGGUCCCGCAUGGGAAUAUUUGUUAAAGGACAACCGGUUGAAGAUGGGCAUGCGUUCCAUUAGCUAGUUGGCGGGGUAACGGCCCACCAAGGCAACGAUGGAUAGGGGGAACUGAGAGGUUUAUCCCCCACACUGGUACUGAGACACGGACCAGACUCCUACGGGAGGCAGCAGUGAGGAAUAUUGGUCAAUGGACGCAAGUCUGAACCAGCCACGUCGCGUGAAGGAAGACGGCCCUACGGGUUGUAAACUUCUUUUAUACGGGAAUAAAGUGCCCCACGCGUGGGGUUUUGCAUGUACCGUAUGAAUAAGGAUCGGCUAACUCCGUG
rnacentral:rRNA from 1 species